AUGCUACUCCCUCUGUCCGAAAAUAGUUGUCAUCAAAAUGAACAAAGAUGGAUGUAUCUAGAACUAAAAUACAUCUAGAUACAUCCCAUUUUAUUCAUUUUGAUGACAAGUAUUUUCGAACGGAGGGAGUACCAU
rfam:Triticum aestivum genome assembly, contig: Triticum_aestivum_CS42_TGACv1_scaffold_514603_6BS